UACGAAGGGGGCUAGCGUUGCUCGGAAUCACUGGGCGUAAAGGGUGCGUAGGCGGGUUUUUAAGUCAGGGGUGAAAUCCUGGAGCUCAACUCCAGAACUGCCUUUGAUACUGAAGAUCUUGAGUUCGGGAGAGGUGAGUGGAAUUGCGAGUGUAGAGGUGAAAUUCGUAGAUAUUCGCAAGAACACCAGUGGCGAAGGCGGCUCACUGGCCCGAUACUGACGCUGAGGCACGAAAGCGUGGGGAGCAAACAGG
rnacentral:rRNA from 1 species